GUCUGUUAAAAAUAAAGAUGAAUUAGACUCACCUUAGACAGAUUGACUCAAAAUCUCUGGAGGGAACCCAGGAACCUUCAUUCUAACAAGAACCCCCAGGUGGUUCUUAGCACUUCAAAGUUGGGGAGCCUCUGCUUCCAUCGGAAAGCAUCAAGCAACAAUGGCCAUAAUAGAAAUGCUACUAUCAAUGGGACAGAAAAGAUACCUGGGAAAGAUUGCUCCUGUUGGCUGUGACAGCUUCUCUGACUUUGUUUGUGAUGACUUCGAGAGUCUUAAGGAGAAAUCAUCGGCUAUUUUGUAGAAUGGCCCUCAAGUGUGGUUUUGGCAGGUGAUUUUCUCAUGAUUGGACUGGGGUUGUGGGUUUUUGGAAGGAAGAAUACAGACAUAGUCAUUUCCAUAACAUCCAUUCACUUCAAAGCAAUCCUACGUUUGGGCAGUGCUCAGCAAGGAUGGUUAUUGCUGCUGCACAUGGCAUCAGCUGGAGAAGCUUGAUGCCAGGGUUGGAGAAUCUGCUUUAAAGAUAGCUCUUUUACACAACUGGUGUCAUUCAGGAGCUCUCUUCAUGCCCACAAUAUUCCCCCUUCUAAUUGAAUUCUCAAAGUAGAAUCAGAUCAAUACAGAACCCUGAAGGUAUCGUGAUUGAGAAGGCUCUCAGCUGCACCUGCUACUGGAAUUAUACCUGUGAUCAGAAGCUCCUGUUUUUAUUUCGACAAAGAAAUGGAAUUCAUAAAAUAGAGUAACAGACUGCCCCAUAAAGGAGAGUAUGGUGGUGAACUCUCAAGAACUAUUGCAAUUAUUUCCUAGAAGGAAGGAGAUACAGAAAUAUAAGAAACGAAUGCAAAGAAGGCAAGGAGAGCAAAAAAGAACAGGAGGAAGGAAGAGUGAAAGGAUGAAGAAGAGAGAAGAAUAUAGUGUUCAUUGAGUAUCUGCUCAAAUUAAGGAUAAAGCCACAUGUUUUCGUAAAUUUUCUCUAAUAUCCAUAGCAAUCUAGUAUCCAUAGCCAAACAAAUAAGUGACUUCCACUUAACAAAGGAACUGAAGCCCAAAAAAGUUAAUAUGGACGAGUCACACAGCAACUGGGAUUGAAGCUGAAUAAAUCUAGCUCCAAGGCAUUCUCUUGUAGGCUGCUCUUCUCAUGUCUGCUAGGAUUACAUGGGUCAAGCACAACCCUGUCAGGUUUCAGUGAUCAGAAGGACAGAACCUUGCUGUUAGACAGAAACUAGGGUCUCUAUACUGGGCCAACUCCUUGUUCUCAAACUCAGGAGCUGGAAUUGCCAGACCUUGGAACCAGCUGACUGGAGACUGUGUCCCCAUUAAAGGAAAUGUCCAGGAUUUCAUUUCAUGUUAUGUCCCCCCCCACCGCCCCACCUCUUCCUCCUUAGUGCUUUCUUUCUCUCUGAUAUCAGCUCUGCUACAGUUUGAGGCAAGGGUUGGGACUAGAAUUGUAGUUUUUUGAAUCUCAGUGUGGUUGCUUUUGGUACUUGUUGAGGCCUCCAUGUAGUCAAAUUCAUUAUCGUAUAUAAAGUUACAAUUAAGAGUUGGAAAUAAUAUAUGAAGAUCAGAUGGAGGAUGUGAGGCUACAAAUCCCUGACAUCUACCUCUACAUAGCUAAUCUGUGAAAUGGGAUUAUCAUGGUAUGAUGUGUCCAGAGCGGUCCUCAUUAUGUCAUCCUUUCAGUCUAUUAGUAAGAUGUUUUGAAGGCAUUACUAGAAAGCAUUCAGUAGAUAUAAACUAUAUGACCCUAGAAAGGAAUUCACAUGCCUGGUACAUUGAACAAUCAUCACUGAGGUUGCUCAAUAGGGCUGAUAAGGACUCCAGGGAAAUAAGCUAGCAUAGGUGUAGGGGUAAGGGAACUGAAGUCAGUGUGCUUGACUCUAUGUUCCAGCUUUGACUAAAUUUCCUGGUUCUUCAUUUUCUCAGUUUUAAAACAAAUGAAGAUGAUAAAAAAGAGCUUUCUUAUGGCCAUUCUCUGCCUAAUACUUCAUGUCCCAUAACAGCAGCUCUGAGCAAGUAUCUAGCUCCCUUAGAGUUUUUUGAUGGCCUCCUUUGAUGCUCCCUGCUAUUCUUGGGAUAAACCCUAAAGUCUUGAGGUGAUCUGUGGGGUUCCUUCUUCUCUGUGCCCUAGCUAUCUUUGAGCCUCAGUUUUUAUUUGCUUCCCCCUUCUACCCUCAGGUUUGUCAUGCUGCCUUAUGGGCAGGGCCCCUGUGCCUGAAUCCCCACCUCACCUACCUCUUCCUGCUUAGUGCUUUCUUUCUCUCUGAUAUCAGGUCUGCUACACUUUUCUAAGGAAAGCAGUUCUGACCCUUUUAUGCAUGUCAAUUCUCCUUCUGUUAUAUGUCUUAUUUACCACAUAACUCUUGGAAUCAUUUUAUUAUGUUGCUGUUGAUUUGUGAGUUACCUUUUUUUUUUUAAA
rnacentral:lncRNA from 1 species